CCAAAGCCGUCCUCCCCAUGAACCCCCUAGUCUCUAACAUUCACAGUCGCCGAGUCUACCCUCUCUCACCUGCCCUCCCUUCUCUCUCUAACCAUCUCUGAUAUCUUCCCCCCUCUACACCUCUCUCACCUGCCCUCCCUUCUCUCUCUAACCAUCUCUGAUUUCUUCCCCCCUCUACACCUCUCUCACCUGCCCUCCCUUCUCUCUCUAACCAUCUCUGAUUUCUUCCCCCCUCUGCACCUCUCUCCUCUCUCUCCUCUCUCCCCUCUCUCCCUACACCACCUCCACAGCCGCUAUGCCCAACCCAACUUUCC
rnacentral:lncRNA from 1 species